rnacentral:rRNA from 1 species
UACGGAGGGGCUAGCGUUGUUCGGAAUUACUGGGCGUAAAGCGCACGUAGGCGGCUUUGUAAGUUAGAGGUGAAAGCCCGGGGCUCAACUCCGGAAUUGCCUUUAAGACUGCAUCGCUAGAAUUGUGGAGAGGUAAGUGGAAUUCCGAGUGUAGAGGUGAAAUUCGUAGAUAUUCGGGAAGAACACCAGUGGCGAAGGCGACUUACUG